GAUGAACGCUGACAGAAUGCUUAACACAUGCAAGUCGAUGGGGAAGUGGUGCUUGCACCAUGGCAACCAUGGCGGACGGGUGAGUAACGCGUAAGGGACUUACCUGCAGGACUGGGAUAACAGGGGGAAACUCCUGACAAGACCGGAUAAUGUCAUGGAGCUGCAUGGCUUUAUGAUGAAAGGAGACGCCUGCGGAGAGCCUUGCGUCCUAUUAGCUAGUUGGUGAGGUAAUGGCUCACCAAGGCGAAGAUAGGUAGCCGGCCUGAGAGGGUGGACGGCCACAAGGGGACUGAGAUACGGCCCUUACUCCUACGGGAGGCAGCAGUGGGGAAUAUUGGACCAUGGGGGCAACCCUGAUCCAGCAAUUCUGUGUGCACGAAGAAGGUUUUCGGAUUGUAAAGUGCUUUCAGCAGGGAAGAAGUAAGUGACGGUACCUGCAGAAGAAGCGACGGCUAAAUACGUG
rnacentral:rRNA from 1 species